rfam:Calypte anna contig35911, whole genome shotgun sequence.
GGUGCAGGUGAUGAUUUUAAGCGACCAAAGCCUGAGAGUUGGUGAUUAGAACUUUUUUGACAACUGAUGCAUC